rnacentral:ncRNA from 1 species
ACUCUAGUCUGGCACUGUGAAGAGACAUGAGAGGUGUAGAAUAAGUGGGAGGCCUCCGGGCCGCUGGUGAAAUACCAGUACUCUUAUCGUUUUUUCACUUACCCGUUAUUAGAAACACUCCUACUCCACCUGAUAUCAACAAUGAUCCUCUAUUACCCCAUUUAACUUUUCUGUAUCUGUUGUAGGUGGUUGAAGU